UAAAGGCGUCUGCAAGUGGAAUCUCAUUGAAGAUCUGGGUUUCUCUUCCAAGCCCCUGGCUGUUAGCAGAAUUAAAGUCCUUGUGUUUCUUAGUCUGAGGUUCUCCUUGUUUUGCUAGUUGUUGGCCAGAGGCUUUUGCCAAAUAGCUCUUCUAUAAGCUUUCUCAUACUUAGUCUUUGACUUCAUGGAGAUCCCUUUUAAGGAUUCAUCUGUGUGUUUAAAUCACCAACUUUUCACUCUUUCCACCAGGAACUUAGAGUCAGAAUUCUGGCAUAAGACUGGUAAAGCAUGAUUCCCACCUUACUACGAAUAAAAAUUGUCUUUCUAAGGAAUUUUAUAUUAAUACUCAGCACUUCAGGAAAAUUUCAUGGAAGAGCCCAAGACAUUUUCAAAUUGGAGAACCGAUUGGAUGAAUGAGUUUGAAUUCCAGAAAAAGAAAUGGGAAUAACGAGUUAGCAUUCUUCAUGCCACUAAGGAAUCUUCCUUCCAAAUUAUGUGGAAGACUCAAGAAUGACACAAGAUAAAAAUCUAAGGAAAAAAAAAACUUAACUAAACUUACUAAGAUUAGUAAGUAUUGAAAAGCCCUUUCAAGGGGUGCCUGGGUGGCUCAGUUGGUUGAGCGUCCAGCUUUGGUCUGGUUCAUGAUCUGGCGGUUCAUGGGUUCGAGCCCCGCAUCGGGCUCUGUGCUGACAGUUCAGAGCCUGGAACCUGCUUUGGAUUCUAUGUCUCCCUCUCUCUCUGCC